rnacentral:snRNA from 1 species
GGAUGUGAGGGUGACCUGUCUGCGACAUCUGUCACCCCGUUGAUCGCCGGGGUUGAUUAGGCUGAUCUGGCUGGCUAGGCGGGUGACCCCUCCUCCCCCACCUCUCCGUGUGCGUCCCUCCUGAAGCUGCGCGCCGGUCAGCGCCCCUGCUAGCACCUCCAAACAAGCUCUCGAAUUAGAGGACAGUACAACACUCAGUGC